GCAUAGUAUUGACCCUAAGUCUGAUAGGUAAGGGUUAAAUUUAUUUUGCAUUAUGUUUUUUCAACUGCCUGUUACCGUUAAAAAUGAUAAUAAAUUUGUUGAUCUCUCAAUCAUACCCAAGGUCUCAUUAUGCAAUCUAACAUGGCAUUAAAAGUCUAUCUCCAAUGUCUCCCUUUUAAAUUAACCAUCCCCCAUGAAUUCAACUUUUUUAAAUGGAAUGGGAACCAGUCACUGCCCCAUCAAGGCCAAUGCUUUUUGGUAAUUUGGACGUUUUAUAUUCAAGGAUAGGACCUGAUAUCAAUCCCCAGUAACAUUCAUCUUACAACAUUCCAUCUACAGUGCUAGCUUCCUGAGCUACUUCUAUAUCCUAUCAGCUUUUACCAUCCCUAUCCUCCCAAUUUUUUCUUUCUUUCUAUUUUCCUUCCAGUUUCAAAAUUAUGCUUUCUGCUUGCCUGUAGGAUUAGUAGAAUAUUAGUGGUAAUCAUUUACAAAGCUCUUUACAUAUAUUAUUUCAUUUUAUCCAAGUCACUCAUAGGAACAUUGAACAGAAAGAGUUCAAGAACAGAAACUUCAGAAGAUUUGUCUGAACUGAUGCAGAAUGAAAAUUUCCCUGCCAAAGGGGAUCAAGGCCAGCCCCAUUGCAUGAACAUAGCUUAUACUCCAACCAAGACUGGAAACAUUCUGUAGGUCCACAACACCAAGGGAAAUGGACUGAAGUAAAGAUUAUGGGGCAGUCAUUGAACCUGCAGUCCUAGAAGUUGAGAGACAAAGAAGGUUGAUGUCACUGGGACAGAAGAGAAUAAUACAAUAUCAAUAACAAGGAUGAUGACAACAACUCACAUUUUUUGUGCUUACCAUGUAAUGUUAGGAUAAUUUUAUCAUUUUGACUUAAAAUCUAAAUUAAUUUUGUCACCAGGGAAAAUCCCAUAUAAUAAAAUACCAAAGAAAUUA